CCUACGGGUGGCAGCAGUGAGGAAUAUUGGUCAAUGGGCGGAAGCCUGAACCAGCCAAGUAGCGUGCAGGAUGACGGCCCUACGGGUUGUAAACUGCUUUUAUACGGGAAUAAAAUGUUCCACGUGUGGGAUUUUGUAUGUACCAUAUGAAUAAGGAUCGGCUAACUCCGUGCCAGCAGCCGCGGUAAUACGGAGGAUCCGAGCGUUAUCCGGAUUUAUUGGGUUUAAAGGGAGCGUAGGUGGAUUGUUAAGUCAGUUGUGAAAGCUUGCGGCUCAACCGUAAAAUUGCAGUUGAAACUGGCAGUCUUGAGUACAGUAGAGGUGGGCGGAAUUCGUGGUGUAGCGGUGAAAUGCUUAGAUAUCACGAAGAACUCCGAUUGCGAAGGCAGCUCACUGGACUGCAACUGACACUGAGGCUCGAAAGUGUGGGUAUCAAACAGGAUUAGAUACCCUGGUAGUC
rnacentral:rRNA from 1 species